UGUUAGUUAUUUACAGUCUUGGCAUGACUGCUUCCCAAGUAGUAAAUAUAUUCUGGCAUAAUUAAAGCAAUUGCACUUCCUUUGCAGGCAAAACCUCUGAGAUGGUAUCUCUGGAGGGAGAUGUUGGAACUGACAGAGAAGCUGCCAACUGCUGUUUAUCUGUUAACCAGUACCUCAGAUUAACAAUAAUGAAAAUAGUAAGAGACUUGUAGUAUCUGGUUUGUACAGUAUGUCAGCACCAAAGCACCGAGGAGCUGUUACUUGAAUUCAGAUGCAAGUUCUGCAGGAAAAAAUGUCUGCCUGAUCUGAUAACUGAGAAUGACAACACAAUGGGCUAUAUUGAAAGGGGCAAUAAAGAUGCUUUACUUACA
rnacentral:lncRNA from 1 species